rnacentral:misc_RNA from 1 species
UGUCUCUCUUCCCACAGUAGUGAUCCCAAGAUGGCUGAGUAACGACUGUUGGACCCUAGGGAGAGGAGUUGCCGUGUCUUAUCAGGCAGUACAUCCCCCACAAACAGACUCUCAGCUAACGAGUGCAAACGAGCAACAGCAAGCAAUGUUAGGUGCUGUUGUUUGAUGUACAGUGCCUGGUGCAUUCAUAUGGGCUACCAACUGAAAAUGGCGAAUUACCUGUACUCAGUUUUGUGAAGAACCUUAUUACUGUUUUAACAAAAUUAAAAGUUUGUGAAGCCUAUCAGUGGUACUGGUAAACAAGGAAUUGAAGUGAUAUUUUAGUGACAAGAUAACGAAUAAAAUUUUAUGGUGUAUAAUAGUUCACAUAACAACUUGAAACCAGCUGUGUGUUGAGAAAGCCCAGUAUAAUAAUCUUGCUAAUAUGACUGUGUGCUUACGAGUACGUCAGUUGACGUGCCAAUGUUGUGGAGGAAAAAAGGCCUAGUGUAAAUUGACUAGGCCCCAGGGACAAGUCAUUAUUUGGCCUGUGGCUUAGGGUUGAUGGUGAACAUUGUUGGUGUUCGCACACUGGUCCCCCCCACUGUGGGCGGCCCCCCUAUCACUGAGUCCAAGAUGAUGGCACGAGCGAUACUGCAGUGUCGGCCCAAUUCCCACCCCUUCCCAGAGAGAACGUUGGUCCUCGACCAGCCAGUGAAAAUUGGACGAUCUGUGGCUCGUGCACGACCUGCUACCAACAAUGCCAUCUUUGACUGCAAAGUACUUUCCAGGAACCAUGCCCUCCUGUGGUAUGAAAAUGGAAAGUUCUACCUGCAAGAUACCAAGAGUAGCAAUGGCACCUUCGUCAACAACCAGCGCCUUAGCAAGGGGUCUGAAGAGUCGGCACCUAGGGAGGUCUGUUCGGGGGAUAUUGUACAGUUUGGCGUCGAUGUCAUGGAGAAUUCCAAAAAAGUGACACAUGGCUGUAUAGUUGCAACACUGAAGCUUUAUAUGCCAGAUGGUCAAGAAGCAAAAGCUAGCCCAUCAACAGCAGUGGGUGGAGCCGUGUCCAGUGUGUCUGCUCAGGAAUUAUAUCAGUUACGGACGUACCUACAAGAAGCUCAGCACCGGGAGCAACAAAUUGAAACGAAAUUGGCAACUUUACAACGUCUGGUUUCAUCUACUCAGGAAGCAGCUACACAUAGCUGGAAAGCAAUGAUUGAUGAAGAUCGAUUACUUCAACGACUAGAAACUCUUGAAGGUCAACUUACUACUUAUGCCAAGAAUUACCCAGAAGACAGUGUUCGAGAAGAGAUGCGAAGAUUACUGGACGAGAAGGGUCAGUAUGAAACCACUGCCAAAGAGUCCUUAAGACGAGUGUUACAAGAGAAAUUAGAUGCUGUCACAAAACUAGCAGAUUUAGAAAGAACUUUAAGCACAUCAGAAGAUGAGUUAGCACACAUGAAAGAAGUUUGUGAGACUACUCAAAAAGAGCUUGUUGAAUUAUUGGAGAAGCAGUCUGCUCAAAAUGAACAAGUUGCACAGCUCACGGAAAAACUAAAGAGUGUUGAGGAUCAGCUGAAGGAUGCAGAGGAAAACAAUGAACAAGAGAAAAAAGAAUUGCAAAGUAAAUUAUCAGAAAAAUCUAGUGAAGAAAACAAAUUGAUGGCUAGAAUAGAAAGUAUAACAGCAGAAAGUGACUUCACCAAAGAGCAACUAAGUGCCAUGAAAGCUAAAUAUGAGAACAUUAAAAAUGGUGAAAUAAGUGGACUUAUAAAACCCCUGAAAGAUUCACAAGGUUUGGAUUUGUUAAGUAUAGAACCGUCAGAUAUAAAACAAGCCCUAGAAACAACACAGAGGGAGAUCCACACACUAAAGGAUCGUCUUCAAAAUGCUCAGGAUGAACUCAGGCAAGCUGAGGCCAAUGUUUCUCAGCUCAAACAUGAGGCUGAGCUGGCAGACAGUGCGGAGGCUGGAUGCUUGAGCACGCGCGCCCGCCUCCAGGAGGAGCUUGCAGACAACAAAGCCAAGAGUGCAGCAAACACAGCACUAACGGAGCACCUACAAGCUCAGAUAGCUACCCUGGAGGAUCGUUUGAGAGACUACCAGGUAGUGUCCGAGAUUCCCGUAAUAUACGACGACAUCUAUGAUGACAACACUUUAGUCAGGAAAAAGAAGGAUUCCCUGAAAAGCAAAGACAAUUUAAAUGAAGACGAUACCAAAGAUGAAGAAAGAUCCAAUGACCUAGAUGACUCCCAUGAUGCAGAUACCACUCUUACCAUCAUCCCCACAAAGACUGACAGCUCCCUCACUAUCAUCUCACCAAAGGAGUGCAAGGACUCCAAUGUUAAUGGUAGCUUGGAGGACAAGGAUGAGGAGAAGGAAGUGGAGGUCGCUCAAGAGUCUAUAUUACGUACUGACAUCUUUAGACUUCAAGAACUUUUAGAAACAAGUCGAAGAGCACAAGAGGUUUCUGAAAAGGAAGUGACCCGUAUUCGGGAAGAUUUGGCGCAGGCAUCUACAGCAGCCAUCACAGCAUCACAUGAGGCAUCUAACCUUCGACAGCAACUAGCUGCUAGUGAAGCGUUAAUGAGUGAAAAGGUAAAGACGGUGGGAUCACUACAGAGCCAAGUGAGCCGUCUUGAAGACUCCUCUAAAGAGGUCCAAACACAGUUGUCAAACCUUACACUCAGACUAAGGGACGAGCAACAGAAGGUUCAGGCUGCUCAGGAGGAAACUCAGUUACUUAGAAAAAAACUAAGUGAGGCUGAAGAAUUAGCAAGCCUUAGUGUACAGGAAGCCGAAUCUCUAAAGAGACGGAUAGCAGGGCUUGAGGAGAGGUUGCAGUUCUCUCAGGCCUCUCCCACCACACCCCUCAUUCUUCCUCCUUCUCCUCGCAUCCCCAGUGGUAAUAAUGAAAUCACAGGAGAAAUGCUUGAUGAGUGUAACACCCCUCUAGCAUCAAGGGAAGGUUCAGCUGAGGAGAGAACUCCAGUGAUGGACACAGAUGAAAGGUUCAUCUCUACCUCAAGAACAACAGUUAAAGAUACUCAAGAUAGCCUUACAAGUCAUAAUUCUGCCUCUGAUACCCAAGAAACCAGUCAGUCAGUUGCAGUUAAGGAAAUGGAACUUAGUGAUUUAAAAAAUACAUUGAAAAAGUUACAAGAUGAGUUAUUAAAGACAAAACAAGAGUUUACGAAUUUGCAAGACAAGGAACGUAUUCUUCAGCAAUCGCUAGAUAAUGAAAACAAGAGGAAAACAAAUGAAAAUAUGAAUGACACUCGACAAGAUUUAGCAGAUGGAUUGGUAACUCCUAACAUGAAGGAUGGCUCAGUGGUGUUGGACAAGUUCGGGAGUCUCCAAGAGGAGUUGGCGUCAUUAAGGGAUGAACGGAAUCAGUUACGGAAUAAGCUUGGCCUGGUGGAUGAAGAUUACCAGCUACUGGCGGUACAAAACAGGAUGACGAUCCCAACAUGGGUCAUGGUAGUUAUGGUGAUGGCUCUGGCUCUUGGAUCUGAAUUUCUUCAAAGCCUUUUGUAGGAAGAAAUAAGCAAAGCUGUACCCAAAGCUUUGGCACGUUCACUUUGCCUAUUAUUUAUUUACGUGCACAAAAUGCUUGUUUAGGAGCGAGUGGUUACUGUAAAAUGUGCAGAGACAGCAGCAGUUAUAGUUUUUUAAGUCAAUUCCUAUCUCCAUAAAGAGUGAUUAUUGUGCCAAGAAAUUUUUAUUAGUUGUUAAUGUAUAAAAAACUUUAAUGGUGUAUCUAGAUUGUACAGUUUCCCCUUUGAUGUUGAUUACAGUUAUUAGUGCUAGUAAAUAUUUUUAACUACAAAGCUGCAUAACCUCCUUGCUUAUGUUGUAUCUAUGUAAUAUAAACACUAUAUGUAUAUAUAGUUAUCAUUUGUAAAAAGAAACACAGAAGCCUUUUAGUGUAAAGAUAAAAUAUCCAAGAAGACUAAAUUAUAACCCUGAGUGCAACAGAGAAGUUAGAAUGAGCCAGUCCCAGAAGCCUUGUGAUAUUAGCCAAUGUAAGCCCUCCAGAGGCCCUAAUAGCAGGCCCAUGGGAAGAGGUUGUUGCUGCCUCGGCCCACCACAAGUCACGCCAACAGGCUGUGGCGCUGAGCAUUAUGCCACUGUGUAUUCUUCUCCUGGGCUUCAUCACAGCUUUCUACGACACCAUCUCUGCCAUUACCGGCACUACUGAGUUCCAGCCGCCAACGUAGAUGCACUUACAAAUUUAACUU